UUUGUUUUUUUGGAUAAACCUCUUUAUCGUUCUCUCCUUUCUUUCUCUUUCUGUUAUUAUCUCUCACAGCCCAUGAAAUAGCUGGUGCGGGCUUUGAUAACUCCAGCUUCCUAUUCUUUUUGGUAAUAAUUUCUUCAUUUUCACUCACUACCCUCUUUCUAUUCCUGUUCUUUUCUUUAACCGAACAUAAAGGGACUGCUGUUGGCUCUAAUAGGUUGGUCAUUUUGGGAUUGUUGAAACUGAAGCCUUUAAACAGCUUUUGCUCUGAUGAGCCAAUUGGCUCCUCUGUAAACCAUUUUAAUGAGAGUGCUUCCCUAACACUCACACUUCCUGUGAUGUUUUCUAAUGAUG